CGUUCAAACAGAAUAGUGCCAUUUAGUAGGAAAAAGGCCUUGUUAUUAUAUUUUUGUCUGUUCCAUCCAUUUUCUAGCACCCAUUUCUGGGCAUUUUUACUUUUCAAACAAUCGGGCAUAUUUUGUGUUCCCUUCAUUCUUGUCAAUAACAGAUCAAAUGCUUUAUGCAAUUCAUAACCCAAUACAUCUGAGUACAACUUAUUCAAAAUUGAGGAAAUAUUUAAAGUGAAAAAAUAUAAAAUCCAUUCAAGGAUGUGCUUCCAACUACCUUGCAUACAUUAACAAGUGUGCACUUCUGACUUUACUGGCCUUAUAAGAGGUACUGGUUACCUGAUUACUAUGAUAAUUGAAAACAUUGAUUUAAAUGUUGGUCAAGGUUUUCCAGUAGUUUGAUAUUGGUCAAUGAUUCUUUUUUUUGGUAACUUAUACAAAAGUAGAUGAUGCCAAUGUCACAAUUUAGUUUGGCACUUUAAGAAUUAUUUUUCCACGAUCAGCUCCACCCCAAUUUUAGGAUGACUGUACUGUUAAUCAAUGUUGUGAACUCCAGUGAUAGUCUAAAAUAGUUUUUAUUUAUAAUUUACACAAGUGCAUCACAUGGUAAUGAUAUGACAUUUAAUCACUUUCCAUUUUGCUGCAAUAUUAUAUGCUUUUCCUCUUAAUUUGUUGCCAUCCCUUAGUGAUAUCAUUAGAAGUGGUACCAUCAACUGUAACAUCAUGAAAAGUUAUGAUGAUAUGUAGCUAAUUUUUUCACUUUUCUCUCUUUAUUGCAGGGCCUCUUUAAUUCAAUUGCAUAUGGCCUUAAUUCUUCUGUUCGUCGAGCAAUUUGUGAAAGAGUGGACAAGUAUUGGCCUGAGGGUCUUAAGAGAUGGCUCCCUAUCAAUUUCAAGUACAAGGCCUUAACGCAAGAAAGUGAACUAGUAUUGUUAAGUACUGAUGGUCAGCGAUAAUGAAUGUGGAUGCUUUUCGUCCUCCAUACCAUGUUUUGACUCUUUUUCAUUCUAGCGAGAUGCCGUUUUCCAUAGACAACAGAGGAUCUUUUGACGUCAUUGAUUCCAGACUAUUUGUUCGGAUGCUUCUUUAGUUAUGUGAAUCAUGUAGUUCACAUUGACAUUAUGAAAUUUGUACCAACAACGAGGAUCCCUCUUAAAGAAAUCAGAGGGAGUUCAUGUGGAAUCUGGGUUUUGAAGCUGUUAUCCUCAAACGAAACACCCUCACUUGAAGUUCAGGAAGUGCAUUUUUUUCUCCCAAUGUUUCUCCCUGUGAUUCAUCUUUAACAAGCCUAGAUGCUAACUGUUCCCGUUUGUGCCAUUGUAUUUCCUCAGGUUUCUGCAAAUAGUGAUUGCCUAAUUUUUGUUGUUGCUAUCAAGGAUAAGGUGCACCUUCAGAUUGUUUACAAAUUGCUGGACAUUUUUUUUACUUCCAAAUAUGUUGGAUGUAUAGAAAAGUACUUUUCAGAGUGAAAUCCACGUCUAUAUUGUUGUUACC